rnacentral:rRNA from 1 species
UACGAAGGGUGCAAGCGUUACUCGGAAUUACUGGGCGUAAAGCGUGCGUAGGUGGUUUGUUAAGUCUGAUGUGAAAGCCCUGGGCUCAACCUGGGAAUUGCAUUGGAUACUGGCAGGCUAGAGUGCGGUAGAGGGUAGUGGAAUUCCCGGUGUAGCAGUGAAAUGCGUAGAGAUCGGGAGGAACAUCCGUGGCGAAGGCGACUACCUGGACCAGCACUG